rnacentral:rRNA from 1 species
AUACGGAGUGUGCAAGCGUUACUCGGAAUCACUGGGCGUAAAGCGCGCGCAGGCGGCUAUUUAAGUUGGAUGUGAAAGCCUACGGCUCAACCGUAGAACUGCAUCCAAAACUAUUUAGCUAGAGUGUGGGAGAGGAAGAUGGAAUUAGUUGUGUAGGGGUAAAAUACGUAGAGAUAACUAGGAAUACCAAAAGCGAAGGCAAUCUUCUGGAACACUACUGACGCUGAGGCGCGAAAGCGUGGGGAGCAAACAGGAGUAGAUACCCUAGUAGUCC